AACGAACGCUGGCGGCAGGCUUAACACAUGCAAGUCGAACGCCCCGCAAGGGGAGUGGCAGACGGGUGAGUAACGCGUGGGAAUCUACCUAGUUCUACGGAACAACACGGGGAAACUUGUGCUAAUACCGUAUACGCCCUACGGGGGAAAGAUUUAUCGGAAUUAGAUGAGCCCGCGUAAGAUUAGCUAGUUGGUGGGGU
rnacentral:rRNA from 1 species